GAUCAUUACUGAGUUACCAAAACUCCAACCCUAUGUGAACCUUACCUCUGUUUCCUCGGCCAACUGCAAAGGCUUACCCUAUAGGGGGUUACCCUGUAAGGGGUUACCCUGUAGGGAGGUGCCCGAUGACGCUCUCUAACCCCUGCCUCGGGGGAGGUUAGCUGAGGGCCCCUCCAAGCCGGCCGCAGCGCCGAUCGAAAAAACCCUUUUCGAAAAACACUUUGUCCAACUCUACCCUGUAGAAUUAAUCGUUCGAAAAAAAUCUCUUAUCUCGAGGCUUUUCUUUGCCUUGGGGCUGAGGCUUUUCCUUGCCUUGCCUUUCUAAUCAGUUCGAAUGUGUUUCCCGGUUGGAAUUUUUGCUCGAAGUUUACGAUGUUACGACCUUAUGAAUGCUUUCGCGUGAAAUGUUACCCUGUACAACAGAACCCUUUCGCUCGAAUGUGUUUCCCGGUUGGAAUUUUUUGCUCGAGUUUUAAUUCUUUUCUGUACUAAUACUGUUUUUGUUUCUGUUCGAAAGUCUUUCCCGGUUGGAAUUUUUCGCUCGAGGUUCUAUUUUAAUAGAGUCUGAAUUGCAUCAAAACAAAUUUUGUAAAAACAACUUAUUAUCAAAACUUUCAACAACGGAUCUCUUGGUUCUGGCAUCGAUGAAGAACGCAGCGAAAUGCGAUAAGUAAUGUGAAUUGCAGAAUUCAGUGAAUCAUCGAAUCUUUGAACGCACAUUGCGCCCAUUAGUAUUCUAGUGGGCAUGCCUAUUCGAGCGUCAUUACAACCCUUAAGCCCUGUUGCUUAGCGUUGGGAAUCUACGGCUUAGGCGUAGUUCCUUAAAAUUAGUGGCGGAGUUAUAGCACUCUCAGCGUAGUAAUUUGCCUCGCUUCUGAGUAGCUAUAGCUGCCUGCCGUAAAACCCCCUAUACUUCUAGUGGUUGACCUCGGAUUAGGUAGGAAUACCCGCUGAACUUAAGCAUAUCAAUAAGCGGAGGAAAAGAAACCAACAGGGAUUGCCCUAGUAACGGCGAGUGAAGCGGCAACAGCUCAAAUUUGAAAUCUGGCCCUAGCGGUCCGAGUUGUAAUUUGCAGAGGAUGCUUUUGGUGCGGUGCCUUCCGAGUUCCCUGGAACGGGACGCCAGAGAGGGUGAGAGCCCCGUACGGUUGGACACCUACCCUAUAUAUAGCUCCUUCGACGAGUCGAGUAGUUUGGGAAUGCUGCUCUAAAUGGGAGGUAAAUUUCUUCUAAAGCUAAAUACCGGCCAGAGACCGAUAGCGCACAAGUAGAGUGAUCGAAAGAUGAAAAGCACUUUGAAAAGAGGGUUAAAUAGCACGUGAAAUUGUUGAAAGGGAAGCGUUUGCGACCAGACCUUUUCCAGGCGGAUCAUCCGGUGUUCUCACCGGUGCACUUCGCCUGGUUUAGGCCAGCAUCGGUUUUCUUAGGGGGAUAAAGGCUUGGGGAACGUAGCUCUUUAGGGAGUGUUAUAGCCCCUUGCGUAAUACCCCUCGGAGGACCGAGGACCGC
rnacentral:rRNA from 1 species